rnacentral:rRNA from 1 species
GACGAACGCUGGCGGCGUGCCUAAUACAUGCCAGUAGAACGCUGAAGGAGGAGCUUGCUCUUCUGGAUGAGUUGCGAACGGGUGAGUAACGCGUAGGUAACCUGCCUGGUAGCGGGGGAUAACUAUUGGAAACGAUAGCUAAUACCGCAUAAAAUUGAUUAUUGCAUGAUAGUCAAUUAAAAGGUGCAAUUGCAUCACUACCAGAUGGACCUGCGUUGUAUUAGCUAGUUGGUGAGGUAACGGCUCACCAAGGCAACGAUACAUAGCCGACCUGAGAGGGUGAUCGGCCACACUGGGACUGAGACACGGCCCAGACUCCUACGGGAGGCAGCAGUAGGGAAUCUUCGGCAAUGGACGGAAGUCUGACCGAGCAACGCCGCGUGAGUGAAGAAGGUUUUCGGAUCGUAAAGCUCUGUUGUAAGAGAAGAACGAGUGUGAGAGUGGAAAGUUCACACUGUGACGGUAUCUUACCAGAAAGGGACGGCUAACUACGUG